rnacentral:lncRNA from 1 species
UUCAAUUGGCCGAUGUUACACGGAAAAGUCAAUUCCUUUUUGAGCAAGAUGAGGCCAAAGGUAGGAGUUAAUAUUAUACAUGUGUUUAAAAUUGGGAAGGAGAAUCAUUCAGGCUCAGGUUUAUAUUACUAGCUUUGGAUGCAGAGAGUUGUGUAAACAACGAGAGUAUAGUGGUGUGCAAGUUCUUUGCUUCAAACUGCACAAUUGAAUGUGCUCCAUUUGUCAACAAACUCCUUUUUGUGUACUAUAAUCCAAACAAUUCAUGUCAAAGUGAUAGGUGCUGCUACUUCAAAGGGACAUUCGUCAAAGAUGCUAUCCAUUGCUGGCCAGGAUUUGUAGGGAUGCUUUUUCUUAUUGCAGCAACUGGUUACUAGUUAGCCUAAUUUGCGUAUUUGCUUGCUUAGAAUUGCUGUUUCCAGAGCUUCUGGUCAGUCCUAUAAAAUGUUUGUAAAUCACUGAUUUUGUUGGGUUUUGUUAUUGUUUUUCUUAUUAAAGUGAUAGAUGCUGCUACUGCUGAGAGCCUAUCAUCAAUGAUUGUAUCUCUUUCUGGCCAGGAUUUGUAUGGGCGUUUUUUUGGUUGUGCUACCAAUUUGUUACUACUUACUCUAAAUUUGUAUGAGACUAGUUAGUCUCAAUGAUUUGUAUAAGCCGACCUCCACGAGGUAGGGGUAAGGUCUGCGUACACCCUACCCUCCCGAGAUUCCACCACACCAAUGGGAUUUCACUGUGUAUGUUGUUGUUGUUAGUCUAAUUUGUGUAUUUGCUCACUUGGAACUUCUGUUUCCAGGGCUUCAGGUAAGUCCUAUGAAAUGGUAUGUAAAACGCUUAGUAUGGA